AGUUUCUUUACUGAUGAUGUGCAACAGGUCAAACCAGCUGAGUUAGCUAGGCUUGAUUAUGUGGCUCAAGAGAGAAAAAUUCCUGCUGGGAAGCUUGGUUUUGAGUUGUAGCCUAAGCUAAUGUAUUCCUCACACAGAUCUUGGCGGUUCAAUCUGGAAACUUGGUGUGCUGCGUGUGAAUACAGAUGCUGGGAAGCUUAGCCUGGGAUGCCAUCUCUCUGACCCCUAAUGCUUGGCUGAACUCUUCUGCUGCACUCGGUCUUUCCUCUGUAAAUCACAGCAUUGCAUCACUAUACGCUGGAGUCUGGACCCAAGGAGAUUGAGGCUGCAGUGAGCUGUGACUGCACUACUGCACUCCAUCCUGGAAAACAGAGCAAGACCCUGUCUCAAAAGCAAACAAACAAUAACAACAAACAAACAAACAAAACCAGGACCCAGGAUCUCAUAACCUAACAUUCAAAAAGUUCUCAAUAACCAAAAGACAGCAAAGCCAAGAUGUCAUAGAUGUUGUACAUACUUAUAUGGUGAAAACUUUAAGGCAGCGAUUACAAAAGUUUCCCAGGAAACAAUCAAGAACACUCAUGAAGCCAGUGCAAAAGUAGAGAGUCUAAGGAAAGAAAUAAAGCAUACUUAAAAUAACUAAAUGGAAAUUUCAGAAAUGAAAAAUAUAUCUGACAUUUAAAACUCACUGGAGUGGAAAGAUGACUAAGCCUAAGAGACCUGUAGGACACCAUCAGCCAUACAAACGUAUACAUAAUAGCAGUACAAGAAAGAGAGGAGAGAAAAAAAUAAAACACUAUUUUUUGAAGAAAUAAUGGCCAAGAAACUUUCCAAAUUAGGUGCAAAUCAUGACACUACACAUCCAAGAAGCUCAGUGAACUCCAAGAAGGACACAGCCAGAGAUCCACAGAAAGACACAUUACUGUCAAAUUGUCAAAACCUGAAGACAAAAUCUAUGUAACAAUAAUAUCAUAAAGGAGUAGGCUGAUGGAGUUUUUAAAGGAUCAAAAUGUUUGAAUACUAUUAAAACUGGGUUAGUAUUAAUUCAAACUUGAUUGUUACAAAGUUAAGAUGCUAAUCGUAAUCCCCAGGGUAACUCCAGCGCUAUGGACUGAAUAGUGUCCCCCUAGAUUUCACAGGCUGAAACUUGAAUUCCCAGUGUGAUGGUAUCUUGAGAUGGGGCCUUUGAGAGGUAACUAGGUUUAUAUCAGGUCAUGAGGGUGGGUUCCUCAUGACGGGCUUGGUGUCCUUUUAAAAAGAGACCACAGAGCUUGCUUACUCUCUGUUUCUCCUCUUCCCCACCUCCCCAGUCCCCAACACACUGUGAGAACACAGCAAGACAGCCAUCAACAAGCCAGGAAGCUCUCUUCCUGGCUCUUAACAGAAACUGAAUUGGCUGGCACCUUGAUCUUGGACUUCACAGCUUCCAGAACUGUGCAAAAUAAAUGGCUGUUGUUUAAACCA